GGGGUGUAAGCGCUCCCGGUUAGGAAUGCACGGUUCUAUCUCAGCACCAUUUUCCCGGUUGCUAACUGCUCUCAGUGAAACUGAUAUGAUGGUGAAAUGGCUCCCUCCGGUUCAAAUAUUGAGCAGCAAGCCUUUGACGGUAUUAAUACAUCGGCUGCGAUUGAUCCAGACAGCGCAGCCGAUGGUAAAACAAGAUCCAUCUCCAACAUUUAGCUGAUGCCUGUAUGUAAUUCGAGAACUUUGACCUUUACUACCAUUAGGCUAUGUUAUGCUUCAUUUAAAAAAGUGUGUGUAAACACAAUAUAGAGUGGAGCAAAUCUAGCCGUGGAGCAAAUCUAGCCGUGAAAUUGCCAUUAUCUGGCUUUUGCUUUGGUCGUAAACUUUACACAUACCGCUGAUAUUUUCACAAACAGAACGGAAGAGUCAUUAUGCAUGCUCUCUGUCGCUGUUCAAAAAAUAACACUAUU